rnacentral:lncRNA from 1 species
CGAGGGGCUCCAUAGCCUCAGGGUGCUCCUGGAAGGCCAGUGAUCUCCGACGACGGCGCGCCAUUGUCGCCUUCUUCUUCUUCUGCAUUGCUGAGUGUCAACUGUAAGUACCGAUCCACCGUCGUCGUCGACAUGCCAGUUGUGGCUCCAUUGUUACCUUGGAGGAAUAAAACCAACGAACCUGGAGAUCUCACCCGCCAUUGUGAAUUGUGAGGCACCUGUAAAUAUAUGUUGGGAGCUUAAUUAGGGUGGUAAGGGAGUCAGUAGCGUGCAUCCAGGGGGCUUUGAGGCUCAUUAUGAGAUGAGAUGAGAUAUGUUGUUCCCCUGUUUAAGUUUUGUCUGUAAAAGAAACCAUUCUCUGGUUAUUGUGUUAUUGUAUCAGUGUAACUUGAGUUGUCUCAUGUGAUGAGCCAUCGCCUCGUUGAUCACUGAUAUGAUGAGAUGUGUUCUUCCCCCCGUUUAAGUCUUGUUGUAUUUGAUCAUUUGUUUAAUUGCCAUGUUUAAGUCUUGUUAUAUCUAUCAUCCUCUACUUGGAAUACACCAAGAAACUAUUUCCGCCUCAAAAUAAGUGUUGUGGUUUUAGUACAAUAGUGUGGUUUUAGUACGAUAGUGUUGUAUAAAAAAACAAGCAAGUGAAAUUAACGGAAACUAUAAUGUGUUGGAUAAUCAGCAACUGGUGUUCACUGAGGACCAAAGGCCAUUACGUAUACAUGUGUGGUUAAGUGUAGAAAGCCCCUUAUAUAAUGGGAUGUACAGAAAAGGGACUAUACAUAUCUAACACCCCCGUCAAACUCAUGGUGGAUCAACAACACUGGAUUUGGAGAGAAUAAAAUCAUGUUGCGCUCAAGUCUGUGCCUUCAUGUAGGAGUCUGCCAACUGUAACUCAGAGGGCACAUAGUGAAGAGCAAGAGUCUGAUCCUGCACAACAUCACGCAUAAAAUGGGCAUCCGCACCGAUGUGCUUGGUGAGCUCAUGCUUCACCGGGUCACAUGUAAUACUGAAAGCACCGGUACUGUCAGACAAUAAGGGAGUCGAGGUAGUAGCAGACACCCCAAAAUCCUCAAGUAACCACCGUAACCAGAUCACCAAAGCCGUUAACAUAGCCAUGACUCGCAACUCGGCCUCUAUACUAGAGCGAGAAACUGCAGUCUGUUUCUUUGUCUUUCAGGCAAUGAGAGAGCCACCAAAAAAGACACAGUAAGCAGAUAGCGAGCUCGAUCAGAGGGAUCACUAGCCCAGGUAGCAUCAGAGUAGGCCUGGAGCUCAAGGGAGCUGGAGCGGGGAAAGAAAAGGCGUUGAGGGAUCGUGCCAUGAAGAUAUCGUAGAACACGGAGGAGAUGACUAUAGUGGACAGAGGUGGGGGCUGAGACAAACUGACUCGGGAUGUGAACAUGAUAGGAGAUGUCAGGACGUGUAACAGUAAGAUAGACAAGGCUGCCAACGAGGUGACGAUAGCGAGUGGGAUUAGGAAGAGGGUCACCAUCAGAGGCACGAAGCUGAACGUUGAGCUCCAUAGGAGUCACAAUUGUGAGCUCAUCACCGAGAGCAGCGCGAGCAGGAAGAUCCGGAAUAUAUUUUUCUUGGGAGAUGUAGAAGCCAUCAGAGGUCGAGGAGAUCUCAAUCCCAAGAAAAUAGCGAAGUGGACCAAGAUUAGUCAUGAGGAACUGGUCACGAAGGCGGCCUUAACAAAGGCAAUGUAGUCAGAGUCGUCACCAGUGAUGAUCAUGUCAUCAACAUAGAGAAGGAGAAGAGUUUGACCACGAGGAGACAUGUGAACAAAUAACGCGGGAUCAUGAUCACUGGGCAAGAAACCAGCGGCAGUUACCAUAGAGGUGAAGCGCUCAAAUCAGGCGCGAGGGGCCUGUUUAAGACCAUAGAGGGAGCGGCGAAGUCUACAGACCAUACCAUCAGGGGCAUAGUACCCCGGUGGUGGCUGCAUAUAAACCUCCUCACGCAACUCGCCAUUAAAAAAGGCGUUCUGGACAUCAAGUUGAGAGAUAGAUCAAUGACGAACAGAAACCACAACAAGGAGAGUGCGAACAAUGGUCAUGUGGGUCACAGGAGCGAAUGUCUCAUCAUAAUCGCGUCCUUGCUCCUGCUGAAAACCACGAGCCACAAGACGAGCUUUGUAGCGCUCAAGAGAACCAUCGGAGCGAGUCUUAAUCUUGUAGACCCACUUGCAGGUGAUGGGACGAACACCGGAAGGGAGAGAAGCCAAAUCCCAUGUGCCAGAGCGCUCAAGGGCAGCAAGCUCUUCGGGCAUCGCAAGCGGCCAUUUAGGCUGAGUCAUGGCAGUUGUAAGGGCAUAUUUAUCCCCAAGGUGUUUUGGUGAUUGAUGACAAUGCUUUUGUGGACUAAUCAUGUGCGUUGAGAUUUUCAGAGAUUCAUCCUUUGGCACGAGACGAUUCCCUCCCCUUGGUGUUUUAUUCAAGACGGUGCAGCUCCUUCGUUUCUCUGUUGGGGGACUAGUUUCGUAGGAGUCACCGUACUAUCAGGGGGGAUCCGCUUUGAUAAGGCUAGGGUGGAAUCAACACGUACACAUCCUUAUCGCACCUGCUGAUCCUUCCCGCUUCAAUGGAGUUUUCCUUCCCUUCCUGGCUUGCCCUGUUUGGUCCCAGCGGUAGUACCGCGGGCCACAGCGGUAGUACCGCCGAAGCACAACAAGCGGUAGUACCGCUUCUCAGCGAUAGUACCGCUUGAUGUCUUCCGCCGUAGUAUCGAUGUGGCUCCGGGCUACUACCGCCUCGACUCGAGGCCUCGUUUUCUCGUGUCGGGUUCUGCGGCACUAGCUGGGGCAGUAGUGGCGGUAGUAUCGCUCUCGAGCGGUAGUACCGCCCUUACCACCGCGGUAGUACCGCUCUGGGUCCAGGACCUUGCUCCCCUCACGUGCACGGCAGUACCGCUAGGUGGCACGGUAGUACCGCUGGCUCAGCGGUAGUACCGCCCACCCAAGCGGUAGUACCGCUCUCCGCGGGGCUGCUUGGGGGGCCAGUGAUCUCGGCGGCGCGCCAUUGUCGCCGCCUUCUUCUGCAUUGUUGAGUGUCAACUAUAAGUACCAAUCCACCGUCGUCGUCGACAUGCCAGUUGUGGCUUCAUUGUUACCUUGGAGGAAUAAAACCAACGAACCUGAAGAUCUCACCCGCCAUUGUGAAUUGUGAGGCACCUGUAAAUACAAGUUGGGAGCUUAAUUAGGGUGGUAAGGGAGUCAGUAGCGUGCAUCCAGGGGGCUUUGAGGCUCAUUAUGAGAUGAUGAGAUGUGUUGUUCCCCCUGUUUAAAUUUUGUCUGUAAAAGAAACCAUUCUCUGGUUAUUGU